rnacentral:tRNA from 12 species
UUAUUAUACCAAAAGGGAAUUCCCCUUUGUUCGGUGUACAAGUAAAAUUAGAUUGAAAAAUUAAGUGUAUUAAAAAUACACCUAUUUACUUGGAAAAGAGCCAUUCAAAGGCUCUUUUUUUUAUGGUAA